rnacentral:rRNA from 1 species
CCUACGGGUGGCAGCAGUGGGGAAUAUUGCACAAUGGCCGAAACCCUGAUCCAGCGACGCCGCGUGAACGACGAAGUAUUUCGGUAUGUAAAGCUCUAUCAGCCGGGAAGAAAAAUACGGUACCUGACUAAGACGCACCGGCUAACUACGUACAAGCAGCCGCGGUAAUACGUAGGGGGCAAGCGUUAUCCGGAUUUACUGGGGGUAAAGGGAGCGUAGACGGUCCUACAAGCCAGAUGUGAAAGCCCGCGGCUCAACCCGAGGACUGCAUUUGGUACUGUAAUGCUAGAGUGUAGUAGAGGUAGGCGGAAUUCGUAGUGUAGCGGUGAAAUGCUUAGAUAUCAGGAGGAACACCGAUUGCGAAGGCGGCCUGCUGGACGAUGACUGACGCUGAGGCUCGAAAGCGUGGGUAUCAAACAGGAUUAGAUACCCCUGUAGUC